ACAAACCAAAACAUAUCCUUCGCUGCCCGUAACAUCGAUCAUCACUCAUCAACAAAUUUAGAUACUUUCAAAUUCAGAAGUGAUUUUUAAUAGAUAAUAUUAUGUACCCGUAGUAAUUGACAAUUUUUUGGUUCAAACCGAAAAUAAAAGUCAAUAGGAAGAGUUUUUUUACGGUAUUAUAUUUUGUAUUACAAAAAAGUUAUGUAAUGAGCAUAUUUGUAAGUGUAAAUGUGAUUUUUUAUGAAUAAUUAACUUCAAACCAUGACUAGACGGUCUCAAAAAAACUCACCUUCCACGGGUCCUAUUACAAAACGCAUAGAAAGUUCCUGGGUUAUGUUAAUAAAAGAUUCAUUGUUUAAAAACAACUCUUUUACGAUAAUAUCACUACCACAUCCCGCUCAUGGCAGACCUACGAGAUAUUGCCUGGAUGAACAAAAUAAAAAAGUACAUGAAAUUGUAACAUUCAAUGAACCAUACCGAUCUUGGUUUAUUGAUGAGACGGUAAAGUCCAAUGGAAGCUUAAUGCUAAUGACCCCUGUCAAUCCUUUAUUUUUAGUUUUGCCCAGGCUAAGGGAUCAAUGUAAUAGCAGAGCUGUACCUCUUGAAGAUUUAUUAUCAGAAAAGGGAUUUGAUAAAUUAAAAUACUUCAUAUGCAAUGAUAGCCUGAAUAGUGUGGCUGAUCUAAAGGUAAGAUUAAAAAUACUUUU